rnacentral:rRNA from 1 species
GUGGGGAAUCUUGCGCAAUGGGCAAAAGCCUGACGCAGCCAUGCCGCGUGAAUGAUGAAGGUCUUAGGAUUGUAAAAUUCUUUCACCGGGGACGAUAAUGACGGUACCCGGAGAAGAAGCCCCGGCUAACUUCGUGCCAGCAGCCGCGGUAAUACGAAGGGGGCUAGCGUUGCUCGGAAUUACUGGGCGUAAAGGGCGCGUAGGCGGAUCGUUAAGUCAGGGGUGAAAUCCGAGAGCUCAACUCUGGAACUGCCCUUGAUACUGGCGAUCUUGAGUGUGAGAGAGGUAUGUGGAACUCCGAGUGUAGAGGUGAAAUUCGUAGAUAUUCGGAAGAACACCAGUGGCGAAGGCGACAUACUGGCUCAUUACUGACGCUGAGGCGCGAAAGCGUGGGGAGCAAACAGGAUUAGAUACCCCGGUAGUCC